AGAGAAUUGACCGAGUGGUUUAAGGUGGUUAGUUUGAAUUUAACUAUGGAUAACCAUCAUAGGUUCGAAUCCUAUAUUCUCUG